GCUGAUUCAGGACCCGCAUCGGCGGGAGUACGUAGGGGCAGAGAGUUAACCGGAAUUAGUGGGCAGAAAGGGCAGGUAGGCGCCCAACCAAGGCAGGGGGGAAAACGUACGGCUCAACCGUGAGCCUGCCCUGGAAACGGAGGGGCUGGAGUGCCGGAGAGGUGGGCAGAACUACACGAGUAGAGGUGAAAUUCGUAGAUAUGUGUAGGAAUGCCGAUGAUGAAGAUAGCGCACUGGACGGCAACUGACGCUGAAGUGCGAAAGCUAGGGGAGCAAACAGGAUUAGAUACCCUUGUAGUC
rnacentral:rRNA from 1 species